GCCUGUGCUGACCAAUCGCCACCCCCUCCAGUGAAGCUGGAUGGUGCGCCUGGAUGGGUGGGAGUGCAUGGUUGGGUCAAGAUGAACCAGCGCAUUCUGGCUUUGAAGCCCAGUCUGGAGAGUGGAGGCCAGGGCGCUGCAGGGAGCCACGCGGGAGGAUGGCGUGACCUGCACAGGAGGGACGGCCCUGCCUGGGCACGGUGAGGGAGGUGGAGGAGUGAGAGACUGUGCCCAGAUGUCCAGCUGGAGUAACCUGGCAGAUGGUGGAGCUGUUCAGAGGCGGACGCACACCUGUCUGCAGCCCCCAGGAGACACAGCCGGAGCUGAGAGCCUGGUUAACCCUUCGCUAUACUGAAACAUCUUCCAUCGAGGCAGGCCGAGAGGGGUGGACAUCAUCACUCUGUUUAAUAGACGGGAACGGGUGCUCAGAAGGGUUAAGUCGCUUGCUUGGGAGCGCCGAGCUGCGGUUUGGACCAGGUCUGUUCGCCUCGUGGGUUCCAACUCCUGUGCAGGACGUUCAGUGACCAAGCACGUGGGCUUCCGAGUCUGCCGGCCUUGCUGCGAAGUUUGCCUGUGACUUUGCAUCUCUUUGGACAAUCCGUUUCCAGCUCUGAAAAAUGAGGGAAAUACCAGUCAGCUCUUCUCAAGGUUGUCGUGAGGAUUAAGUGAAGAAAUGGACGCGAAGCCUUGACGGAGUGCAUGUCUUUAUCUGCCCAGCUGCCUGGGUCUGGGAAUGAGUUUUCCAUGAAGAUUUUCUUUGAAUAGAGGGGAAAUGUCCAGACAAAAUGUGGAGGUUUUUACCUCCUCCUCGGGAUGAUGACAUCGCAAUGACUUUUAAAGCUAAAUUUUCCUCGAAAAGAGAAAGUAGCUCGGUCGCUGCUGGUGUGAGCAGUGGCCUCUCUCCUCCGUGGUCUCGGCUGGCAGCUGAGGGGCCUGCGUCAGCCCCCGCCCAUCUUGCCUUCCUCGGGCAGCAGAUCUCUGACACGGCACACCGGCAAGCCACCAGGAGAAUCCGGAGAGCGAUGAACCUGACCCGCGCCUACAAGGCUUAAAGAUAUGGUAAUGCAAUUAGCAGCCUCGGCAGCCUAAUGAAGGCUCUCUGAAAUGCUGAUAAAACACCACUGAAGAAAAAUGCUUAAGAGCCUCUUCAAACUUUCCAAAAUGUGAAGUGUGUCCUUACGGAGAAAAUGGCAAUCUAGUCUCCUUUCUCCAAGGUUCGAGAUUAAUUAGGGGCUUAUUUAGUGCAUGAAUGAGGAAACAAAUGAACUCUGGGAUCGCAAAGCAUUGAAACCAAUUUUUUAAUCUUUUUUUUACAAUUACAUCCGUAUCAUAAAAGUCUUCAUUAGACGUUGUCACCAGUGCAUAUUGUGCCGGAAAGUGUCGCCAUCCUGGGCUUUUGACGAGACCGCAUUUGCUUCCCAUGAAAGGGGCUCUUCUAACAAAGCCUUCUCUUUCUUCCUAACGGCAAACGGCUGGGGCUUGGAUGGCUAGUCCAGGCCAGGGGGAAAUUCAUCUCCCGCCUUGCCCUCCUCAAGCUGAGUUCACCUGUAAACAUGGUUUCUUCCCAAACAGGACAGACGGACGAGGGGCUGGGUGAAUGGACCGGGCUCCCUGCAUGGCACAUGCAUUUAUUCAGCCAGUUGUGAUGACAAGACGGGUGUGGGCAGAGACGGGAGCCCUGCGUAUCUCUUUCUGCCCCUCCCCACAAACAACCACUGAGUGGAAGCCAGUCCAAACAGCCGCCCUGCUGCCAUCCGCAGAUCUGUGCCUUUCAUUUGGCCAGCAGUCACUGGGCACCCACCAGCGCUGCGUACUGCUAGGUGCCGGAAGUACGGCAGUGAGUCAAACCCACAUUCUUCUGCUCAUGGACCUCUAGACUAGGGUUGAUGGCCUUGAUAUCUGCAAGUGACCUGGAUCGUUUCUGGUUCUGGUCUGCCUGCGCUGGGAUUCCACAGCAGACACCAUCUUUAUCUCUUGGAUGUGUCUAUACAGCUGAGCAACAUGACGGGUUGCAUGAACACCUAAUGCUAAGCUGACCUCUGGUAAAUCUUUCACCUGCCUGUGCCUCUCCUCUUCAUCCAUGGAUUGGGGACACGACUACCUGUGACUGCCGUGUCACACUGUGGUGGACGGAUUCUCGGAGGCAUGAUGUCUCCUCCUGGUGUUCAUGCCCCUUGAGUGGGGGUGGAACCCGUGACUGACAGGAUGUGUGUGAGUAUGCUACAGAAGAUUAUAGUGCCAUCUAGCAAGGAAACCCUCCCUUGCUGGCUUUGAGGAAGCAAGUUGCCAUGUUGUGAGUUGCCUUUGGAGGGUCCAUGAGCCAAGGAGCUGAGAGUGGCCUCCAGCUGACAGCCAGCAAGAAACUGAGACCCUCAGUCCAACAGUCCACAGAGCGCUGAAUUCUGCCAACAACCACAGGAGUUUGGAAGCAGAUCCUUCCCUGAUCCAGCUUCAGAUGAGACUGCAGCCCUGACCUUGAUGGCAGCCUCAUGAAACCCUGAGCUGAAGGACCCAGACCAGCUGUGCCAAGACUCCUGACCCACAGAAACCGUGGGGUAGUACACGUGUGUUGUUUCAAGCUCAUAAGCUUUGUGGAAAUUUGUUACGCAGCUGUAGGAAACUAGUAAGCCCAGAGCUCCCUGUCCGUGACAGACGUGAAGCUGGAAGGAGCUGGUGGCUUUCAGAGUCCGGGAGCUACGCAGCAGCUCAGCCACCAGAUGACAACUGGAGAUUCAGAAAGAGUUGUGCCAGGCUGGCUGGGUGCAGGAGCCCCUUCCUCAUGGUGAGCCAGGCCAAACUUGGGGGCUGGGGGCUUCAGUGAGUCCCCCAUGACCUAACCUGGGCCUUCUGACAUAGGGGAUUCAUCCCAGAGGGUCUGUGUCCACUCUGGGACCCCCACACCCCUGACACUGACUUCCAGAAAGUGGAAGACAACCAUGGAAGGAAUAGCUGCACAUUUCACCUCUCCUCUUUCCUCCUUUGAAAAUGGGUAGUCAUUGACCAGGCUCAUUACAGAGGGUUUUACACCCAGCAGACAGGAAUCCCUUCUGGGAGCUUUCUGGGAGGGAGUUGGUCCUGUGUCAAGUGCUUGAGAUCAAAUCCCAGCUCUGCCGCUUGUCGCUGUGUGAGCCUGGGCCAGUACCGAACCUCUCUGAGCUUUAGCUUCCUGCUGUCUCUUAACCAUGACACCAUCUUGAAAUGAGAAUCACCAGUAAAUCUGAGGUCCAGGGUCAGUGGCAUCUGUCCUACACGAAGGGUGCUCUCAGGGCAGACGCCUCCCUCUCCCUCUUUAUCCUCCUCCUCAAUUUAAUCCGUUC
rnacentral:lncRNA from 1 species